CUCGUCGGCUACUUCUCCAAGGAGAAGCACUGUCAACAGAAAUACAACGUGUCAUGCAUCAUGAUUCUUCCACAGUACCAGCGCAGGGGCUACGGACGCUUUCUCAUCGACUUCAGCUACUUAUUGUCCAAAUGCGAGGGCCAGCCAGGCUCUCC